rnacentral:rRNA from 1 species
UACGUAGGGUGCGAGCGUUAUUCGGAAUUACUGGGCGUAAAGCGUGCGCAGGCGGUUUUGUAAGUCAGAUGUGAAAUCCCCGGGCUUAACCUGGGAAUGGCAUUUGGGACUGCAAGGCUCGAGUGCGGUAGAGGAGACUGGAAUUCCUGGUGUAGCAGUGAAAUGCGUAGAUAUCAGGAGGAACACCGAUGGCGAAGGCAGGUCUCUGGGCUGACACUGACGCUCAGGCACGAAAGCGUGGGGAGCAAACAGG